rnacentral:rRNA from 1 species
GUGGGGAAUUUUGGACAAUGGGCGAAAGCCUGAUCCAGCAAUGCCGCGUGUGUGAAGAAGGCCUUCGGGUUGUAAAGCACUUUUGUCCGGAAAGAAAUCCUUUGGGUUAAUACCUCGGAGGGAUGACGGUACCGGAAGAAUAAGGACCGGCUAACUACGUGCCAGCAGCCGCGGUAAUACGUAGGGUCCGAGCGUUAAUCGGAAUUACUGGGCGUAAAGCGUGCGCAGGCGGUUUUGUAAGACAGAUGUGAAAUCCCCGGGCUUAACCUGGGAAUUGCAUUUGUGACUGCAAGGCUAGAGUGUGUCAGAGGGGGGUAGAAUUCCACGUGUAGCAGUGAAAUGCGUAGAGAUGUGGAGGAAUACCGAUGGCGAAGGCAGCCCCCUGGGAUAACACUGACGCUCAUGCACGAAAGCGUGGGGAGCAAACAGGAUUAGAUACCCCUGUAGUCC